GACGAACGCUGGCGGCGGGCUUAACACAUGCAAGUCGAACGGAAAGGCCCUGCUUUUUUGCGGUGCUCGAGUGGCGAACGGGUGAGUAACACGUGAGUAACCUGCCCUUGUCUUUGGUAUAACUUCAGGAAACUGGGGCUAAGCCCGGAUAGGAUCGCCUGCGGCAUGGUGUGGGUUGGAAAUUUUCGGCUGUUGGGGAUGGACGCGCGGCUGAUCAGCUUGUUGGUUGGUGGGUGGCUUACCAAGGCUUUGACGGGUAGCCGGCCUGAGAGGGUGACCGGCCACAUUGGGACUGAGAUACGGCCCAGACUCCUACGGGAGGCAGCAGUGGGGAAUAUUGCACAAUGGGCGGAAGCCUGAUGCAGCAACGCCGCGUGCGGGAUGACGGCCUUCGGGUUGUAAACCGCUUUCGCCUGUGACGAAGCGUGAGUGACGGUAAUGGGUAAAGAAGCACCGGCUAACUACGUG
rnacentral:rRNA from 1 species